GAAAAAGCUAGGGUGAUUCUGCAACAUUAUCAACGAUUAUUGUAGGAAGAACUUGUGCGUGGAGAAAAAGGGCACUGGAGAUGGUAUUGUGAGCUAUGGAAUGGAUGAUGGGGAUGACAUUUAUAUGCUUUCUUGGACAUGCACCAUUAUUUGACCCCACAAUGUGUUGCGUAGCUCCUUAGGGUGUGCUUGUGCACUCCCCCUCCUAAUAAGGUAGACAUGCCACUGGUUGGGAAACGGGUCAAAACGAGUAUUUGGGGUUGGUAUGGAAAGUCUCCCAUUGGAGUUGGUUUAAUCUAAAUGAAUGUAUUUAUGCCGGUUUAGAAGUUACUAAACUUAUCGGCUAUCUGUGCUUAUCUUCAUGUGUUCAAGCGAAAUUAUUCAAGAUUCGCAGCAGAUAUGCAACAAGUUUUAAGGCCUGAAAGACACCUUAAUGGUUCUACUUAGUUCUAGGGUUCCGUCACCUGACCCGCCCGGUUUGCCAGGGAUUCUGAUGAUGGUUUAAUGAGGUUAAAGUGUUGCUCCUCCAAAAUGGACCAUGCAAAUUAUUGAUGACAUGAAUCAUAAUUACCUAAAGUUAUAAUUUUGCUUAAGCUAUAAUAUUAUUGAAAUACGUAGACAUUAUAAUGUAUUUUCUUAUCUUUUAGAAAUUGUCUCUUACUCCACUAUUGUUUCCUUUUUUUCUCAUUUUGAGAUGAUUGGGAAUAUAUUAGUUCUAAGGCUAUGUGUUAUGGAGGCUUGGUUGGAGGCUCGGUUGAAAAAAAAAAGUGUUGUCACAUAGGUAACACGCAGAUACACUUAUUUCUCACCUACAAGUGCCAAAAAGAGGUGUAAUGGAAGGGGCUUAGUUGAGGGCUUGAUUAGUGAAAUAAUGGAUGGGCACAAGUGAAAUAAGAUAUCUUUGAUUAGAGGCAGUUUACUUAUCUUUUAGUGUGUUAAAUUAUAAUUUGAAUGUGUUACUGGGUUGAUGGUCAAGUGUUUGAAACUUUAUUAGAUUAUGUAAUGUGGAAAUUUUCUUAAAAUAAUAACUAUUAAUUAUUUGAUGAUUUCCUAAUUUAAUUCAUAUAGGAAUUAAUUUACUAUAGAGCAGUA